GGGUUGUGAGGUUAAGCGACUAAGCGUACACGGUGGAUGCCCUGGCAGUCAGAGGCGAUGAAGGACGUGCUAAUCUGCGAAAAGCGUCGGUAAGGUGAUAUGAACCGUUAUAACCGGCGAUGUCCGAAUGGGGAAACCCAGUGCAAUUCGUUGCACUAUCGUUAACUGAAUACAUAGGUUAACGAGGCGAACCGGGGGAACUGAAACAUCUAAGUACCCCGAGGAAAAGAAAUCAACCGAGAUUCCCCCAGUAGCGGCGAGCGAACGGGGAGCAGCCCAGAGUCUGAAUCAGCUUGUGUGUUAGUGGAACGGUCUGGAAAGUCCGACGGUACAGGGUGAUAGUCCCGUACACCAAAAUGCACAGGUUGUGAACUCGAAGAGUAGGGCGGGACACGUGGUAUCCUGUCUGAAUAUGGGGGGACCAUCCUCCAAGGCUAAAUACUCCUGACUGACCGAUAGUGAACCAGUACCGUGAGGGAAAGGCGAAAAGAACCCCGGCGAGGGGAGUGAAAAAGAACCUGAAACCGUGUACGUACAAGCAGUGGGAGCACCUUCGGGUGUGACUGCGUACCUUUUGUAUAAUGGGUCAGCGACUUAUAUUCUGUAGCAAGGUUAACCGUAUAGGGGAGCCGCAGGGAAACCGAGUCUUAACUGGGCGUUAAGUUGCAGGGUAUAGACCCGAAACCCGGUGAUCUAGCCAUGGGCAGGUUGAAGGUUGGGUAACACUAACUGGAGGACCGAACCGACUAAUGUUGAAAAAUUAGCGGAUGACUUGUGGCUGGGGGUGAAAGGCCAAUCAAACCGGGAGAUAGCUGGUUCUCCCCGAAAGCUAUUUAGGUAGCGCCUCGUGAACUCAUCUUCGGGGGUAGAGCACUGUUUCGGCUAGGGGGUCAUCCCGACUUACCAACCCGAUGCAAACUACGAAUACCGAAGAAUGUUAUCACGGGAGACACACGGCGGGUGCUAACGUCCGUCGUGAAGAGGGAAACAACCCAGACCGCCAGCUAAGGUCCCAAAGUCAUGGUUAAGUGGGAAACGAUGUGGGAAGGCACAGACAGCCAGGAUGUUGGCUUAGAAGCAGCCAUCAUUUAAAGAAAGCGUAAUAGCUCACUGGUCGAGUCGGCCUGCGCGGAAGAUGUAACGGGGCUAAACCAUGCACCGAAGCUGCGGCAGCGACACUAUGUGUUGUUGGGUAGGGGAGCGUUCUGUAAGCCUGCGAAGGUGUGCUGUGAGGCAUGCUGGAGGUAUCAGAAGUGCGAAUGCUGACAUAAGUAACGAUAAAGCGGGUGAAAAGCCCGCUCGCCGGAAGACCAAGGGUUCCUGUCCAACGUUAAUCGGGGCAGGGUGAGUCGACCCCUAAGGCGAGGCCGAAAGGCGUAGUCGAUGGGAAACAGGUUAAUAUUCCUGUACUUGGUGUUACUGCGAAGGGGGGACGGAGAAGGCUAUGUUAGCCGGGCGACGGUUGUCCCGGUUUAAGCAUGUAGGCUGGUUAUCCAGGCAAAUCCGGAUAAUCAAGGCUGAGGUGUGAUGACGAGGCACUACGGUGCUGAAGUAACAAAUGCCCUGCUUCCAGGAAAAGCCUCUAAGCAUCAGGUAACAUCAAAUCGUACCCCAAACCGACACAGGUGGUCAGGUAGAGAAUACCAAGGCGCUUGAGAGAACUCGGGUGAAGGAACUAGGCAAAAUGGUGCCGUAACUUCGGGAGAAGGCACGCUGGUGUGUAGGUGAAGUCCCUGCGGAUGGAGCUGAGACCAGUCGAAGAUACCAGCUGGCUGCAACUGUUUAUUAAAAACACAGCACUGUGCAAACACGAAAGUGGACGUAUACGGUGUGACGCCUGCCCGGUGCCGGAAGGUUAAUUGAUGGGGUUAUCCGUAAGGAGAAGCUCUUGAUCGAAGCCCCGGUAAACGGCGGCCGUAACUAUAACGGUCCUAAGGUAGCGAAAUUCCUUGUCGGGUAAGUUCCGACCUGCACGAAUGGCGUAAUGAUGGCCAGGCUGUCUCCACCCGAGACUCAGUGAAAUUGAACUCGCUGUGAAGAUGCAGUGUACCCGCGGCAAGACGGAAAGACCCCGUGAACCUUUACUAUAGCUUGACACUGAACAUUGAGCCUUGAUGUGUAGGAUAGGUGGGAGGCUUUGAAGCGUGGACGCCAGUCUGCGUGGAGCCAACCUUGAAAUACCACCCUUUAAUGUUUGAUGUUCUAACGUUGGCCCCUGACCGGGGUUGCGGACAGUGUCUGGUGGGUAGUUUGACUGGGGCGGUCUCCUCCCAAAGCGUAACGGAGGAGCACGAAGGUUAGCUAAUCCUGGUCGGACAUCAGGAGGUUAGUGCAAUGGCAUAAGCUAGCUUGACUGCGAGCGUGACGGCGCGAGCAGGUGCGAAAGCAGGUCAUAGUGAUCCGGUGGUUCUGAAUGGAAGGGCCAUCGCUCAACGGAUAAAAGGUACUCCGGGGAUAACAGGCUGAUACCGCCCAAGAGUUCAUAUCGACGGCGGUGUUUGGCACCUCGAUGUCGGCUCAUCACAUCCUGGGGCUGAAGUAGGUCCCAAGGGUAUGGCUGUUCGCCAUUUAAAGUGGUACGCGAGCUGGGUUUAGAACGUCGUGAGACAGUUCGGUCCCUAUCUGCCGUGGGCGCUGGAGAAUUGAGGGGGGCUGCUCCUAGUACGAGAGGACCGGAGUGGACGCAUCACUGGUGUUCGGGUUGUCAUGCCAAUGGCACUGCCCGGUAGCUAAAUGCGGAAGAGAUAAGUGCUGAAAGCAUCUAAGCACGAAACUUGCCCCGAGAUGAGUUCUCCCUGAGACUAUAAGUCUCCUGAAGGAACGUUAAAGACGAUGACGUUGAUAGGCCGGGUGUGUAAGCGCAGCGAUGCGUUGAGCUAACCGGUACUAAUGAACCGUG
rnacentral:rRNA from 1 species